UACGGAGGGUGCGAGCGUUGUCCGGAAUCAUUGGGCGUAAAGGGCGCGUAGGUGGCCCGGUCAGUCGAUGGUGAAAGCGCGGGGCUCAACUCCGCGUCGGCCGUCGAUACUGCGGGGCUGGAGCACUGUAGAGGCAGGCGGAAUUCCGGGUGUAGCGGUGGAAUGCGUAGAGAUCCGGAAGAACACCGGUGGCGAAGGCGGCCUGCUGGGCAGUAGCUGACACUGAGGCGCGACAGCGUGGGGAGCAAACAGG
rnacentral:rRNA from 1 species